rnacentral:tRNA from 1 species
AUUUAUAUAGUUAAAUUAAUAACAUGUUAUUUUCAAUAACAAAUCAAGGAUACCUUUAUAAAUA